GAUGAACGCUGGCGGCGUGCUUAACACAUGCAAGUCGAACGGAAAGGCCCAAGCUUGCUUGGGUACUCGAGUGGCGAACGGGUGAGUAACACGUGGGUGAUCUGCCCUGCACUUCGGGAUAAGCCUGGGAAACUGGGUCUAAUACCGGAUAGGACCACAUUUUGGAUGGUGUGGUGGAAAGUUUUUCGGUGUGGGAUGAGCUCGCGGCCUAUCAGCUUGUUGGUGGGGUAAUGGCCUACCAAGGCGUCGACGGGUAGCCGGCCUGAGAGGGUGUACGGCCACAUUGGGACUGAGAGACGGCCCAGACGCCUACGGGAGGCAGCAGUGGGGAAUAUUGCACAAUGGGCGCAAGCCUGAUGCAGCGACGCCGCGUGGGGGAUGACGGCCUUCGGGUUGUAAACGCCUUUCGCUAGGGACGAAGCGUUAUGUGACGGUACCUGGAGAAGAAGCACCGGCUAACUACGUG
rnacentral:rRNA from 1 species